GUAUAUGGCCAUGCUACCCUGAACACACACGAUCCUGUCUGAUCUUGGAAGCUAAGCAGGGUCAGGCCUGGUUAGUACUUGGAUGGGAGACCACCUAGGAAGACCAGGUGCUGUAGGUG
rfam:Pteropus alecto contig104804, whole genome shotgun sequence.